rnacentral:lncRNA from 1 species
CAACUUGGGUUAGAGAGAGAAACUAGAGAGAGAAAGUGUAGAUUUGAGGUAAGCAAGUUGUUUAAUUUUGUAAUUUUCGUUUAUUUUGGUUCCUAAUGGUAUGUUGAAUAGAAUUAACGGUAAAAAUUGUGUAAAAGUUGAGUAUAAUUAGCUAUAAACCUGUUUUAGUUAAAAAUCACAAUUAAUUAAAGAUUAAAGUAUUUUAAGUUAAGUAUUUUAUUAACGGUAAGAUCAGCAUAAAUCUUUGUUUAAUUUGGUUUGAUUGAAAAAUAGAUUAGUAAACAUGUGAUGAAUUGGGUUAUUUGGACACUUGGGAUUUGUUAAUAGGUUAGGCUUUAAGAAAAUCAAAAGAAUUAGUGUUUGGUAAUUAAUUAGGGAAAUUAAUAUGCAUUGCAAAUAUUGUUUAAUUCAAUUCAAAUUUGAUCUGAAAACAUGUAGGAUAUAGAUUAGAGAAUGUGAGAAUUAAAAAUUUGCAACAAUAAACUAUAUAAAUUUUCAUUGUUAGGAAACCUAAAUUAUGUUGUUUCAUUUCAGUUCCUCGUAAUAGGCAAAGAUCGUCUACUUAGAAGAAACACAAAAAGGAAGUUGGUGUAAGGUAGGGAAUUUUAUGCCAUUCUAUGGUGUAUCUGAUUUCUUUCCUUGAAUUAUUUGUUGGAAUUUUAUGUUGUUUCUAUGAUUUCAUAAAAUCUUUUAAAGUGUCAUUGCAUCUCAGUUUAUUGCAUUGAAAUGUUACCAUGAUGCCAAAACGUAUAUUGGUAUGAAGAUUCGUGGUUUUGUGUUGUCGAAAUGGUUUAUGGUGUGAUUGCAUUGCAAGAAGGAUAUGGAAUUAUCAUAGAUCAUAUUCAGAGAAUUUAUUGGUGGCGAAGUGCUUAUGUGAUGCUACAGGCCUUAUCAUUUGUUAUAUUGUUUAUGUGGGACCGUGGGUCCUUGGGUGAAAGUCCCUAAAGCCCUCGAGGAAGACACUCCGAUGUGGGUGUAUGGGGUUGGUCCUGCCCUUGGGUAUGAGUCCCAAAAGACACAGGGUAUGACUUGCCCUUGGGUGAUGUCCCAGAAUAGUCAUUAUUAUAUUGAUAGAGUAUCUUGUGGAGCAUUGAUAUCUGCUGUGUAGAUUGUUGGGAGUCAGCAAAUUAUCAGUUGUGAAAGGAUGGAUGGGGAAAAGAAAUGAUGAAACCAACAAACACAUGCAUACAUGUUUGACAUGAUUACACAUUUGUUAAUGGUUAUGAAAUGUUUAUCAUGCAUGUUAUUAAACGUUUAAUUCAAGGUUUUUAAAGGUAUACUUAGGAUGGUUAUAAACUUUCCUACUGAGUUGUGAACUCACCCUAUUCCUUCCACCUAUAGAUGCAGGGCAGAAGACCUAUGCAGGAAAGAAUGCUUGAGCAAUGCUUUACUGUGAUUGGAUGCUGUUUGCUCAUAUUGAAAGUCUUUUGAGGCCAUGCCUUUUGUAUCAAGACUACACCUUUUGUUGGAAUGAUGUAAUGUAUAUAUUUGUUAGAUACACUUGUAGUAUGGGCUACCCAUAGUAAACAAUGGGGUUUGGUAUAUGUAAAUUAAUGUUGUACAAGUUUCUUUUGUGAAACAAAACAUAUUUUGUUAACUCAAUAGUCACAAUGUUUAUUACAGGAUGUACUCUUUAUAACAGGUUUUCCAUAUCCUCUUUUUGAACAAAUUCAAGUAGGAACUCAACAUUUAAAUUUUUGAGAGCACUUUUACUGUAUUUGAGUAUCAAUUCUUUAGUUGAAGAAUAAAUAAUAAUAAUCAUAAGAAAAAAAAAAUUGGGGUGUGACAAAUCCAAAGUGUCCAAAUAACCUAAUUAAUCACUUGUUUACAAAUCUAUUUUUCAAUCAAACCAAAUUAAACGAAGAUUUAUGCUUAUCUUACCAUUAAUAAAAUACAUAAGUUAAAACACUUUAAUCCUUAAUUAAUUGUGAUUUUUAACUUAAACAUGUUAAUAGCUAAUUCCACUCAACUUUUACACAAAUUUUACCGUUAAUUCUUUUUAGCAUACCAUUAGGAACCAAAAUAAACGAAAAUUACAAAAUUAAACAACUUGCUUACCUCAAAUCUACAUUUUCUCUCUCUAACCCAAGUUGAUGCAGGUGAAAUGGUGGAAAACGAGCUGCAACUCCCUAUAAAGGGGUCUCCAUGCAGCCAAGCACGAGGUGGCAGCCCACAUGGCUGCCACCAAUCCACCCAAGUAGGAGGUGGCAUUCCACUAACUCCAAUUUCCCAAUUUUGCACUUUAGUCCUUCAAGUUAUCAAAAAUAAAACCAAUAAUUGCUCAUUAGUCCUUUAGGUUUUCAAAACCCUAAUCAGCCCCUAAGAAUCUAAUAAACAUGCUUAAGUCAUUAGCUAAUCCCACUUAACCUUAUUCAAAGUUUAAUUCAUAAUUAAACAAGAUUAGCACUAAACUAGUUUUAACAAUUAAUUAAGCAUGCUUAAAGUUAAGUAAUGAGACAAUCAUUAUUGCCUAUUUAAUUCAUUAGUACUAGGUGUCACAACAAUCAAAAGAAUAGACAAAUUAGCUUAGAUAGAAGAACCUAGGAUGGCAUCUCAAUGAUGUGAAACUAAACAAACUAAGUAAGAAAAUGAAUAGAACUAUGAAUGGCGUUCCAAUGAUGAGGAAUCUCGGGAACAAAUGAUUAUGUUUAGAUAGAAGCUAGGAUGACAUCCUGAUUAUGGGGUGAAGGACGAAGGAUACCCUAAACCAACUUUAGGAAGUGGGAUGCCCUAAACGAUGCCUUAAUAAACUUAAUAAAGGGAAUUCUCUAAACAAAGUCAAGGAAGGGGGAUGCUCUAAGCAAAUUCGAGUAAGCGGGAUGCCCAAUCCCAACAAAAGCGGUUGUGCUUAAAAACCUCAAGAAAUGGAGUUGCGCUAAACAAACUUUUGGAUGGGGAUGGCCUACUACACUAAAUGAAGUGGGACUUUUCUAAGUAAGCCCUAGGAAAGGGUAUGCCCUAACAGAAUUGAAGGAAGUUCGUUGGUCUAAACAAACUCUAGGAACAUGAAUGAAUUAAAAAUCUCCAUGAAGAUGGAUGACCUAAGAAACUGAAGGAAGGGUGAUGGACUAAAGUAAAUCAAGGUAGUUUGAUAGCCCAAUGAAUAGGAACGUCCUAAAAAAUAGAGGAAUGGGAAUACCCUAAUAGCACCCGAGGAAAGAGGAUGCCCUAAAUAAACUCAAUGAAGGGGAAUACCCUAAACAAACUUAAAGAAGGGGAUGCCUGAAAACAAUUCAAGGAAGGAGGAUGCCCUAAACAUACUCAAGGAAUAGGGCAUACCCUAAAACAAACUCAAGAAAGGGGAGAUGUGCUAAACAUACUAAAGGAUGUGGGCAUAACCUAAACAAAUGCAAGGACUAGGAAUUCUAUAAAGAAACUAUGAGAUGGGGAGGAGGAGAUGCCUCAAUAACAUUGAAGAAAGGGGUAUGAUCUAAACAUAGAUAAGGAAGGUGGAUGUCAUAAAUUAACUGAAUGAAGGGGGGACGUCUUAAACAAAAUAAUGGGAAAAAGAUGCCUUAAUAAGACUGGAUGAAAUCACAUUCCCUAAAUGAACUCAAGGAAGGUCCAUCCAUUAAAGAAACACAAAAGAUGAGGUUGCCCUAAAUAAACUCAACGAUGGAGGAUGCCCUGAACAAACUCAAAAAAAGGCGUUCACAUUAGGAAAUUCAUGGAAGGGGAAUGCGCUAAUAAGACUCAAGGAUGGGGGUUCCCUUAAACAUAGUCUUAUGAGGGGGAUGCCAUAAGUAACUCUAAGAAUCAGGUUGCCCUAAACAAACUCUAGGAAGGGGAAUGCACUAAAAAAAUUCUCAAGGAAGAGGGCACAAACACUAAACAAACUCAAGGAAUAGAUAUUCUAUAAAGAAACUAAGGAAUAGUGGGACGUCUUAAGAAGACUCAAGGAAGGGGGAUGUCCUAAAAAGAGAUAUGGAGGGAGAAUGUUGUAAACAAACUCAAAGAAGGGGAUGUGCUAACAAGACUGAAUGAAGGGGGAUGCCCUAAAGAAACUCAAAGAAGGGGGAUUCUCUAAACUAAAUUUGGGAAGGGGAUGUCAUUAACAAACUCAAGGAAGGGAGAUGCUCUAAACAAACUCUUGGAAAGGGAAUGAAUUACAAAAUCUCCAUGAAAAAGAAUGACCUAAGAAACUAAAGCAAGGGUGACGCCCUAAUGUAACUCAAGGGAGUGGGAUGGCCUAAGGAAACUCAAGGAACAUGGAUGUUUAAAACAAACUAAAGGAAGGGGGAUGCCCUAUUAAAACUCGAGGAAAGUGGACGCCGUAAACAAACUCUAAGAAGGGAAAUGCCCUAGACAAACUCAACAAAGGGAGAUGUGCCAAAAAAAAUACUCAAGAAAGCGGGAGGGGCUUAACAAACUCCAAGAGGCAGAUGCGCUAUGAAUCUUAAGGAAGUGGGAGUGCACUAAAUCAACUCUUGGAAGGGGGGUGCCAUAAACUCAAGCAAGGGGGAUCUUUUACACAAACUCCAAAAAGGGGAACGAAUUCAACAAUCUUCAUGAAAAGGGACUAAGAAACUAAAGGAAGGUAUAGCCCUAAAGUAACUCAAGGGAAAGGGGUGCCCUAAGAAACUCAAGGAAUGGGGAUGCCCUAAACAAACUAAUGGAAUGGGGAUUCCUUAAUAACAAUUUAGGAAGGGAGAUGCCCUAGUAACACUUAAUGAAGGGGGAUUCCCUAAACAUACUCAAGGAUGGGCAAUGCCUUAAACAAACUAAAGUAAGACAGAUCCCAUAAACAAAGUCAAGGAAGGGAUCUACCACACACAAACUCAAGGAUGGGGGAUGCCAUAAACUAAGUGAAGGAAGGGGAAUGCCAUUAUAAGACUUAAGUAUGGGAGAUGCCCUAAACAAAGUCACUGAAGGAAUAUAUCCUAAACAAACCGGAGAAAGGAAGAUGUCCUAAACAAUCUCCCUGAAGAGGGUUGACCUAAGAAACUCAAGAAAGGGAGAUGCCCUAAUGUAACUCAAGGAAUGGGGAUGCCCUAAACAAACUAAAGGAAGAGGAAUGCCCUAAACAAAUUCAUGGAAUGACAAGAGGAACCACCGAUUCACAAAUCUCAUUAACCACAGAAUUUAGUGAGCGGCGCCAAAUCUUUCUAAAUGCCACUCGAACCCAGAGCUAGAUGGUUCUCCUCGAAAUGCGUUGCCCUAAACAAAUUCAUGGAAUGACAAGACUUUAAACAAACUAAAGGAAAGGGGUGUCCAACAGAAAAUCAUGGAAGGAGGGGAUUCUCCACAGGAAUUAAAGGAAAGGAUGCCUUAAUGAAACUCUAUGCCAUAAACAAAUUCAAGGACACGAGAUGUCAUUAAAAAAACUCUAGGAAGGUGGAUGCAAUAUAAAACUUAAGGAAGUGGGAGUGCACUGAAUAAACACUUAGUAGAUGAUGCCUUAAACAAAUUCAACUAAGGCGAAUGCUCUACACAAACUCUAGGAAGGGGAAUGAACUAAACAAUCUCCAUGAAGAGGAAUGACCUAAGAAUGUGAAGGAAGGGUGAUGCACUAAGGAAACUAAAGGAACCCCAUGGCCCAGGCAAACUAAAGGAAGGGGGGUGUCAUGAUAACACUCGGGGAAAAUGGAUGCCCCAAACAAAUUCAAAGAAAUGGAAUGCCCUAAAAAAACUCAAGGAAGGGAGAUGCUAAAAAAAAACCCUAAAAGAAAAGGGGAUGUCCUAAACAAAGUCAAGGAAGGGAGAUUACCUAAUAAUAAUCAAGGAAAUGGGAUGACCUAAACAAACUAAGGUAGGGGGAUGCAUUAAAGAAACUCUAGGAAAGGGGAUGUCAUAAACAAAAAGGAAAUAAGGAUGCAUUGAAAAAAAACAAAAAACUCCAUGAAGAGGGAUGACCUAAGAAAAUGAAGGAAGGGUGAUUCCCUAAUUUAACUCAAGGGAAUAGGAAAACUUAAGGAAACUCUAGGAAAGGAGAUGCCUUAAACAAAUUAAAGGAAGGUGGAUGCCCUAAUAAAGGGAAAUGACCUAAAUAAACUAAAAGAAAGGGUGAUGCUAAACAAACUUAAUGAAGGGGAAUGAGUUAAAAAAGCUAAUGGAAAGAGGGAUGUCCUAAACAAACUAAGGGGGAUGCCCUAAACAAUGUUAAGGAUUGGGGAUACUCUAAUCAAGCUGAAAGAAAGAAGGUGCCAUAAACAAAGUCUAGGAAGGGGUUACUAUGGACUUGCAUUUCUCACUUGCGUCCCCACUCGACAAUGAGACUCAUUUUUUAAUUGUGAAAAUUUGAUAUUUUAUUAAAAUUUGGAGUUCUCAUGCCACUUAUUUUAUUUUAUUUUUUAUAGGGAAAAUAAUAUAAGAAACUAAAAGCAUAAGAAAAAUGACACCUUAAACUUUGGAAAAACAUGUCUUUGAAAUAAUAAACCCGAGUCUAGGUCCAAGGAUCAGGUUAUCUAUCAGGAAGGUACCUUAAGAUAAUGGUACUCCAAACCCUUAAAAAGAUCUCUACAAACUAAAUAGAGGGAAGUAUGACAAUUAAGUGAUUAAUAGAGGGAAUCAAGGAAGACUUAUUGUGAUUACUCAAAUUCCAAUAACAUAUUAAGCAUGCUAAACAAAUAAUUCAAGUCAGACCAUAAAGGUAGAGUAAGAUGCGUACCUGGACUGCAAUUUAAAGCGCUAUUACAAGAUACUGAAGUUAGUUCAAACAACAAAAUAAGCAUGCAUCUCAUCAGCAAAAAUCAAGGCACUCUGCGCCAAUAUCAAACAUGGUAUGAUUCACACAAAACAUUUCAUAUGUAACUAAAAAGAAGUGAAUGGUGGAGAGUGUACCUGAAGAGCAUAUCUUUAACGCAAUGCACUUUCAAUACAAAUGGAGAAGCUAGGAUAAAAAAUGAUGACAAGCAAUUACGAGAGCAUAAUAUCUGCAUGGCAUGAACUUACAAAGACAUCAACUAUACAAGUUAUAUAACCAACUAAAUAAAUCAACUUUGGGAAAAGCUUUUUCGAUGCAAAUAACAUUCUAGAAUCAAUUUCAAGAAGUGAGUAACAUCACACAAUUAUGGAAAAAAAAAUUUAGUACACUCCAAAAAUAAUUAAAACAAAAUUUAAAACUAAAAGGUCAUUGGCUAAGCUGAAACUGGUAGCAAGGAUAAAUUUUAAAAUAUCUUUUAUGUAGGGUUCACUCAAAUCUUCAUUCAAAAUUCCAUAACCCAUACAUCCUCAACCUCAAGUGAAAAAAAUUACCAAGGCCAAGGACAUUCCCAUUAGUUUGGAGGCACAAGUUCAAACUUAUGCGAAUAAAAACAAAGUUUUUGGAAAACCAAAAAGAGAAUGCAACAUGUAUGAAAUGAGUUGCAUGUUUUUAAAAGAAAGUGAGAUAUUUGCCCUAAACCUAAAACGAAUUUUCUUUUAAAGUCCUUAAAUGAUUCAAAUCCUUUUGAAAAUAAUUUAAAUUAUUUUUAAAAAAAAUUGAUUUUAGGAGGAGCAAAAAAAGAAGAAAAUUAAGAAAUUCCAAACAAAAGACCUAAAAGUUGGGAUUUUUUAUUCAUAACUUUAAACAAUUUGAAAAGAAAGGAAAAAUCAACUUAGACAUUCUUUUUUGGCUACCUUUUCAUUACUGGUGGAGAAAAGAUCUUUUUUUGUAAAAGAAAUUUUGACUCAAAAAUCAAUUAAGUUUUUUCUAAAGAAUAACAAGCUCUCAAAGGUAAAUAAUCAAAUAUCAUGAAUUUUUAACUAAGUUAGCAUUUAAAGAACUUUAGAAAAUAACUUAAGAUGAAUUUUUCACUAAACUUGCAUUCAAGAAACUUUAAAAAAGAAUCUAACAUGAAUUUUUAACCAAACUAGCAUACAAAGAACUUUAAAAAACUAAUACAGAAAUUCAAACUCCAUUAUUAUCUUUCAAAUUUAUCUAGAAAUUCAAACUCCAAAACUUAUAUACUGCCUAAGGGAAAAUCUAACAAGUUCAUCACCAUCAUGAAAGGGAGAUAGAGAUUACUUGUCUUAAGGGACAGAACAAGAGAAAUGCCAAUCUCACAUAAGUACCAAAUAGGUUGUUAAAAACAACAUUGAUUAAACCAAUUGCUCUAACAACAAAAGCAUAAGUUGAUUUACAUAUUAAGGUAGAGAAGAAAAAACACACACUUCUUGUCAUUGUCGUAGCUCUGAACUUAUUAAAACCCACAUUCCACACUACCACUGUGAUUUAGUGCUUCCUUUUUUCCUCUUCUUUUGUUACUAGCCGAUUUAAAUAUUAAUUAAAGCAUGCAGUUUACAUAAAGGAAAUGCUAGUGGGACCCUUGUUCGCCUUUUCUAUUCCUUAUAGAGUAAGACACUAAGCUAUAGUUGGAAAUUGACCUAAAUCACCAAUAACAAACAUGGGUUUCAAGUCAACAAACCAAAGCAAACUUAAAGCAAAAUAAAGAUGCAACCACAUUUUAAGACUUCCAACACCCUUAUUCAACCCAACCACAUAGUGUAACUCACUAUUGUGUGAAUCACUGCAACUAUGAACAAAAAAAAUAUAAACACAUCAUUUCUUUCUUGUUGCAUAGGGUAUAGAACAAUGAUUGCGUAGGGGUGAAAAAUUGUUGAAAGUGACACAAAUCUACCAUCAAAGACAAAGCAAUUCUACAACACAAACUGCUUAAAAUACAAUGGCAUAAGCGAAGAGUCUUUUUACCAUAUCAAUGAUUCAAUAAGACAACUUUCAAUGAUUUCUUAACCACAAACUGCCACAUACAUGAUUUUCAUAACUCAAACCUAGGUACAAAGUCAAGUACAAGAAAUCAAGCCAAUCUAUGAGGAAAAAAAAAAAGGAAAAAUAAAUAAAUAAAUAAAAGAAAAUUUCGAACAACCCAAAUGCAUUAUCUAGUAAGAUAAGAAUGCAAUUGAGCGAAGUAACAUAAAAGAGGAAAAAUAAGAGAAAAAAGAACAUUAUGAAAAGAGGAUGACUCCUAGAACAUUUAACCCACAAACCUAUCAUUGGUCUAGUUGCGAUUGACAGGGCUUGAACCCACAGCUUCCGCCUUGCAAAGGCAUUGCACUGACCAUUUGAACUACAAUCUCACAUAAAUAAGGUCACAACUGUCAAUAUAGGUAACCAAACAAGUUGUACAAAUAACACUUAACAACUCAAUCUUUAUAAUAACUCAAUCUUAAUUUCAUUAUAUUGAAUGACAUACAAUUCUUUUGUAGAAGUACUUAUAAAUCAAGUAUCUUCAAAUCAAACCAAAUAUGCUCAUAUCCAUGCGCUAGGAAAAAAUGAUUCAUAUUAAGGCAAAAAAGUAAAAAAGAAAUAUCAGUUACUAUUAGAUGUCAACCCCACAUCCCACAUCAUAUUAUUUCAUGCAGAAACCAAAAGAAUGAUCCAUAAUUAAUCCAAAUUCAUGAAAACAUAACUUGACAUGGAACAAAUAGUCUCUAUUAAAAAAAUCUAGGAAUAUAAGUAAAUCUCAAGGCUAUGCCCCACACUAUAAUGACAACAAUUACAAAUUGAAGGGAUUUGCACUAUUACAAAUUUAAGUGGUUUCCAUAAUGCAUCUAGCUUAUACUACUUAAGAAAUAGCAAAAACCAAAAGAAUUAUUAGCCCAAAACCAUAAUGAAUUCAUAAUCACGAAAAUGUUAUUGUAACACCGAAGCAUUUUCUUUUAAGGGUAAUUUAGGAAAUUGUUAUUAAUAAUUAAAUUAGUUAAUUAAUUAAUUUAAUAAAAAAAAGAGGGGUAAAAGAGUAAUUUUACGAUUAAUACCCUAGGUAUAAAAAAAAAAUUCUCUUCUUCUUGUUCUUUUUUGAAUCGUAUUCCUAUUCGCAGAAAGUUUCCAGAGAACGUGAAGUUGAGGUCAGAUUUGAAGGUUUGAAGAACAAACCUCUAUAGGUAAGUUUCUAACCCCUAGAUUAUUAUUUUAGAUUCAUUAGUUAAUUUCAAAUACAUUAGAUAUUUUUUGGAAAACCCUAAAUCUAGAUUAGGGUUAGAUUAUUUUUUUUUUUAAUUCGUUUUAAUAUCAAAUAGUGAAAAUUUAAGAUUUUGAUUUAUUAUUGGAAUUGGGGAGAUUUUAACUUUUUUUUAUUAGAAAAAAAAAAUUCCUGUGAGGAUUUCGAUUUAGAUUAGGGUUAGUUUAUUAUUAUUAUUAUUAUUAUUAUUUCGUUUUAAUAUCAAAAUAGUGAAAAUUUAAGAUUUUGAUUUAUUAUUGGAAAUUGGAAAUUCUUAAGCUUUAAAAAAAAAAAAAAGAGAACGCGUGUGCAUAGCCCUAGAAGGAAGGAAAAAAAAAAAAAAGAAAGAAAGAAAAGGGCGUGUGCCAAAUGGAAGGAGCCUUUAUAUAUAUAUAUAAUGAAUCAUGAUGAUGGCAAUGAAAAAAAAAAAAAAAAACUUGCUUUUUGGUUUGGUUUGGUGUACCCGAGACAGGUUGAGUGGCUUUGGAAUUGGUUAAUUAAAGUAAUAAUAUUUAGUUUUAGAUUUAUAAUUAAGAUAAUAGUAAUAAUAGUUUUUUUUUUUUUGUAAUAAAUAGAAUGAGAGAUUUAGCAAAAUAUAUAUAUAUAGAAUUUUAUAAUGAAAUAAAGUUAUAAUUUAAUUAAAUUAGUAAUGUGUUAUUAGAAAUAAAUUGGGAAUUUAUUAGUUUAUUUAAAUAAGGAACAGAUUAGUUAAAUUAUAAAUAAAUAGUAAUAAUUGUUCCUCUUAUGUUUUGUUAGGUGAAGAGUAGAUUUUCAGGAUUAUUUUUCUUCAAAGUUUUUGGAGGAUUUCUUUUGAGGUAAGGGAAGUUAAUGCAAUAUUUAUAAAAUUUAAAUUAUUUUAUAUGUUAUUUUGAAUUGUGGAAAAGAAAAUGAUAUUUUGUUACCAUGCAUGGAUCAAAUUGUUUUGCACUAAAUGUUAUGUUGGAAUAUUUUGUUUUAUUUAUGACACAAAAUAUGGAGAUAUUAUGUUGUGUAAAUUUGAAUACUUGAACAAAAAAACAUCACUUUGGUUUAUUUGGCCCUUGUCAACGGGAUAUAAUAGUUGACUAUUCGGCCCUGUCAACGGGAUAUAAUAGUUGACCUUUACAUUUCAUGGUGGGAAUGUAAUUGAUUUGGAUCCCAGCCUCUAGGGGUUUGGUUAGAGGUUACUAGUACUUGUAGUGUUUGGUUCCGUCCACCAGGAACAAUUUGAGGCUAGCCACCCAUUUGAAAAGUCCCACCUAACUGGGCAUUUGAUAUUUGAUAACCAGAGUAAUGAAAAAAAAAAUGAAAAAUUGAAUGGAUUUGAUUGAAUCUUAUGUGAAAGUGUUUGAAUUUGAUAUGAAAUUGGUUAGUUGAAUUUUGAAUAUAUUGGUAUUUUUGAAACUCUGAUAUUUGAUGAGAAAAAAAAUGAUAUCUCCUAUUUGAAAUGAAAAUAUUUGAUCCAUGAACUGCAUUAAUAUUCCUUAUUGGGCUGUGAGCUCAUUCCCAAUUGUUGAAAAUUUUUCAGGUACUCUUAGUUCGGGUGAGGAGUGAUGGCUAGGCUGAGGAAUGGUCAUCAUUAGGAUUUGACUUAGGAUUUUAUGUUGGAUUUUGUUUAACUGUUAGUUAUGUUCAUUUGGAUCAUUUGAUAUUUGGAAGUUAUUUGGAAAUUGAAUUUUGAGGAUUUUAGAUUUUGUUUCGCUACUCUAAACAGGUAUUUGGUAACAUCCAGUUACAAUAUGAUUGUUUGGGUCAGAUUAUACUUUAAGCCUUCGGGUUUGAGGUGUGAAAUGACCGUCACGCCCUUGGAGUGGGUCUUGGGGCAUGAUAGUUAUCAUGACUUGGCAUGGAACAAAUAGUCCCUAUUCAAAACCUAAUAAUAUAAGUAAAUUUCAAGGCUAUGGCCCACACCAUAAUGACAACAAUUACAAAUUGAAAGGAUUUGCACUAUUACAAAUCGAAGUGAUAUCCAUAGUGCAUCCAGCUUAUACUACUUAAUAAAAAAUUGCAUAAACCAAAAGAAUUAUCAGCCCAAAACCAUAAUGAAUUAAAAUCAUCAAAAUGUUUCCAUGACUUGGCAUGAAACAAAUAGUCCCUAUGUAUAUAUAGUGUCAGAAGCCUCUUCCCCAAAUUGAUAUAGGAUAUCACAACAUCUCUCCAGCUUGGUUUUCCAAUUUAGUUAAUGGAACUAAAAAUAUUGGUGGUUACAGAAUUUACCAAUGGCUAAAUCUUCUGUUGAGAUUAUUUUCCUCCACUUGCCUCUUACCAUAAUUAAAUGACAAAUUCCUUUAAUGUUGACGCAUCUUGAAGGUCUAGUGAACAUUCUUGCUUGUAGAGUAACAUGAAAGAGGACUGUAGUUUGAGGUUCUAGAAUCAUGGGAUGGUGGCCAUGGAUUUCUUAAUAAGUAAAAAAAUCACCACAGGGAUCUCUAUAGGCUAAUUGCUUAGUGUGUGGCAUUUUGAAGGACAUACUGAGAUAGGUGAUGACAACUUCCAAGGGUUCAUGGGAUUAUGAAAAGUGGAUGUUAAAAGGAUGUAGCUCCAAAUUCAUGAAGUACAUUUGUUUUUCUGGCUUAUCAUUUUAACCAACAAAAUUAGCUCUCUUGUGCCAUGAACUUAAGAUGACUAAUUGGAAGGUGGUUUUUUAUUGUCUAAUUUAUAAAAUUAGUGAGAUUUAUCAUUCAAAUGAGGGCAUGAUCUCAACCUCCAUUACAAUAUAUGGAAUGAUUUAUCAUUCAAAUGAAAAAAUAUCGGGACACAUCAUAGGUGCUUGAGUACAUAUAAUUAAUUUUCUAAAAAAAAUGAAAAAUCUAAAGAAAUUAUAAUUCCUCAUGGAAACCAUUCUCAGGACCACUUCUUUGAAGGGAAAUACUGGCGACCUAUAAUCAAACACUUGAAUGUUGGCUAAGUCAAGCUGCCCCACAAACUAGUCUACAUGUCGUCUGCUAUCUGCUUGAGUAGCAACCAAGCCUUCACAUGAUCUCUCAUCAAACCUUGGUCCAUCAGCUUGCAUGCUGAAUAGGCACUCGUGGGUGCAAAGCAUCAUCCAAUGCGGCCUUGGUACCACAUCAUCCAAGUCAAGAUGCUAACACACAACCCUAUCCCUACCCCCCAAUCCAAUCUAAAGGAAAUGGGAAAAAGAAGUAGCUAGCUACUCCCAUACACACCCCUCCUUUGCGCUUCCAGGAGCUCAAAUCAUAGACCAUUACUCCAAUUAAUUCGAUACUCCUUUCCAUAACCCUAUCCCUCCAACCCAAAGGAAGGGAGGAAAGCAGCAGCCACUGACUACUUCCAUACCCUAUUUAAUACAAAUCGUCCUGCAUAAAUUAAGCUCAGCCACAAAUUUUUUAUUGCCUAACAAGAGGAAUGUGUAGCCAUGGAAAUAGAAAAAGAAUUAUACACGUGUGUACACAUAUAAUACAUGGGUGCACACAAUAAAUGUAAUGCAUGUCAAGUGUAACUACAAAAUGGAAGAAGAAUAUAUUGAUGUGUUACCUAAACUUCUAUUGUGGCAUUUCAUAAAAGCAAGAUUUCCACCAGUGCAUUUCAUAAAAUGCAAAAUUUCCACUGUUGCAGUUCAUAGAAGCAAAAUUUUAAUUGUUGCAUUUCAUAAAAAAACACAUUACUUCUUCAAGUUGUUACCUGGAUCUGAGGGCCUUUUUCCUAGCAAGGGAUUUCUUGUCAUUAGGGGAUUUUUUGCUGUGACCAGCAGAGUUGGAUGGCAGAGAAUUGGUUGCAACAUUAAAAGAUUUUGUUUCCAUUGUCAACAUCUUCAAAGAUAUUUUCCGGAGGUAAUCAGACUGAAUUAGAAGUAAAAAUAAAAAUAUAUCAAUUCAUCAAAUUAUUAAUGACAAAGUAAGAUAAGAUAGUAUCAAGUUUUGCACUUUAAUCUUUUACACUAAGGAUAGAUACAAAAAAUGCUCAUAGGUCUUAAGGAAUGGUUGAGUAAAUACUAGCAUGAUGGAUAUACUUGGCUUGUGGCAGCAAAAUAAAUCUUUUCCUGAAACCUUUCAACAAUUUUCCUUAGCUCAUGCAGUCCCUCUGGUCCAGAAAUAGGAAGAUGUCUCUUCAAUCAUUGGUUCAAAAAAAAUAUAUUAAAUAGGAAAUCAUGUUAGUUAUGCACUGACCAUGUCACAUAAAUUUCCAACCAUAAAACAAUAUUGCAUGAAACAGGAAUUUAGAGUAAAUAGAAAAUUUUUAUUAAGGAAAGGAAAGGAAAGGAACUAACAUCCCAUAAUAAGAGGGGGUUUGAGGGUAAGACAACCAGAAAGCUUGUAUAUUUAUAGGAUUCCAUGCUUACAUCCCUUCUUUUGAACAAGUCAAACACAAAAGAUUGUCUCUUGCAAUUUACUGCACAUUCUAAUACCUUUUUUCUAGUUCCUAUUUUUUAAUGAUCAUAUUUGAACUUCCUCAUGUAUUGAUUUCUAAUGUAUCUAACAUGCUCACAAAAACUUAUUAUGUCUUGCCUAGCUUGAACUCCCAAAUACAAGAAUCAAUGAAAUUCAAUUAUAUUCCCCUAAACAAUUCAUGGAAUGCCAGCUUACAUUUCAAUUAGACCAAGGAUUACAACAAGUUCUUUGGUCACUAUACUUAUUUCUUGCCAAUAGGAGAAAUCGGUUUGGAGGUUAGAGGCCAAGAAUAUUUUUAGACCACCUAUGUAGACUAGCCUGUAACACCAAGUACUAAUGAAUUAAAUAGGCAAUAAUGAUUAUUUUAGUACUUAACUUUAAGCUUGCUUAGUUAGAUGUUAAAACUAGUUUAGUGCUAAUCAUGUUUAAUUAUGAAUUAAACUUUGAUUAAGGUUAAGUGGGAUUAGUUAAUGAUCUAAGCAUGCUUAUUAGGUUCUUAGGGACUGAUUAGGGUUAUGAAAACCUAAAGGACUAAUGGGCAAUUAUGGGUUUUAUUUUUGAUAACUUGAAGGACUAAAGUGCAAAAUUUGGAAAUUAAGGUUAGUGGAAUGCCACCUCCUACUUGGGUGGAUUGGUGGCAGCCAUGUGGGCUGCCACCUCAUGCUUGGGUGCUUGGAGACCCCUUUAUAAGGGGGCUGCAGCUCGUUUUGCUCCAUUUCACCUGCAGCAACUUGGGUUAGAGAGAGAAACUAGAGAGAGAAAGUGUAGAUUUGAGGUAAGCAAGUGUUUAAUUUUGUAAUUUUCGUUUAUUUUGGUUCCUAAUGGUAUGUUGAAUAGAAUUAACGGUAAAAAUUGUGUAAAAGUUGAGUAUAAUUAGCUAUAAACCUGUUUUAGUUAAAAAUCACAAUUAAUUAAAGAUUAAAGUANNNNNNNNNNNNNNNNNNNNNNNNNNNNNNNNNNNNNNNNNNNNNNNNNNNNNNNNNNNNNNNNNNNNNNNNNNNNNNNNNNNNNNNNNNNNNNNNNNNNACACAUUUGUUAAUGGUUAUGAAAUGUUUAUCAUGCAUGUUAUUAAACGUUUAAUUCAAGGUUUUUAAAGGUAUACUUAGGAUGGUUAUAAACUUUCCUACUGAGUUGUGAACUCACCCUAUUCCUUCCACCUAUAGAUGCAGGUCAGAAGACCUAUGCAGGAAAGAAUGCUUGAGCAAUGCUUUACUGUGAUUGGAUGUUGUUUGCUCAUAUUGAAAGUCUUUUGAGGCCAUGCCUUUUGUAUAAAGACUACACCUUUUGUUGGAAUGAUGUAAUGUAUAUAUUUGUUAGAUACACUUGUAGUAUGGGCUACCCAUAGUAAACAAUGGGGUUUGGUAUAUGUAAAUUAAUGUUGUACAAGUUUCUUUUGUGAAACAAAACAUAUUUUGUUAACUCAAUAGUCACAAUGUU